rnacentral:rRNA from 6 species
AAACGACUCUCGGCAACGGAUAUCUCGGCUCUCGCAUCGAUGAAGAACGUAGCGAAAUGCGAUACUUGGUGUGAAUUGCAGAAUCCCGUGAACCAUCGAGUCUUUGAACGCAAGUUGCGCCCGAAGCCUUCGGGCCGAGGGCACGUCUGCCUGGGUGUCACGU